UUGUCAGAUCUAUCUUUUCUUCAUUGAUCUACACGCCUCUCUCUCCUUUUCUCUUGCUUUUUCCUCUUUUUUCCUAAAUCUCAGGCUUUUCCCCUCUUUGUGUUGAACACAGAUGAUUUGAAGAAAUCCCUCUCUCUGGUGAUUUUCAAUUUAGGGUUUCUUGCCUCCUGUGGUAUGAGCAAGAUCUCACCAGAUCCAACAAUGGUGUGGUCUGUAAAAGUGGUCGAGGCAAGUUCCAACAACCCGAGAUCUAGAGUUUUAAUUUCAAGUCUGAGAUCUCGUGAUUCAACAGCAGGCAGCGGCUAGGGUUCUGACCAUGACCACCUGCUUGGAGCUCAGGAAACCACCGGUAGAAGCUACUAUCGACACCUGGAAGACGAGUACCAAAAGUUAAUCAGGCGAGUGAACCCAUGAGUCAUAACCGACAACGAAAUCAGAGAUAAAAGCAGCUGGAAGUACAUAUGGAAACUUCUUUUGUGUUAUAACGUUUGGUGAAUCUCAUGGUGGUGGAGUUGGUUGUGUGAUUGAUGGAUGCCCCCCUCGAAUCCCCCUUAUAGAGGCUGAUCUACAAGUAGAUCUUGACAGAAGGAGGCCAAGUCAAAGCCGUAUCACUACACCUAGAAAAGAAACCGACACGACCCACAUAUAUUAUGGUGUUACUGAAGGCAAAUGGCAGCAAGAAUCAGUUUAUCUAAACAUUAAAAACAAUUAGUCGGCCCGAUGGGAAAAGGCGGGCUCGGAUUCGGUUCGCUAAAGGAUAUAAAUGUAAGUUUACUUUUAAAAUGGUGGUGGAUAUACAAGAAUGAAGGUAAUGGUUUGUGGCAACGAACCGUGACGGCAGUUCACUUUAAUCCUAAAAUGCUUUGUGGCAACGAACCGUGAAGGUAAUGGAUAUACAAGAAUGAAGAUGAUUUCAGCAAGUCUGGUUUCGGCCCGAAAACUCUCAUUGUAUGUGAUCAGUGUGAGAAAGGGUAUCGUGUUGGCUGUUUCAAGGAGUACUAAAUGGAG